UUACUGUUUUAAUGCAGACCCAAGGCACAAUGGCUUGUGUAAUGUAGCUUUAUGUGAUAUAUUUCAUGUGCUAGUUUUGGGAGACUUCCUAGUGAUAAAAUGUUUGUACAUUGUAGUUUGUAAAUAUGUACAUGUUUAGCAUUGGAUAAGUUUAUGUUUUUAUAACUGUGUAAUGCUAUAGUGUAAAAACGUCCGUUCUACUCAAGCAAAAACUUUAAACAGUGAAAUAUUACCUUGUGUAAAGCUUUAGAAUAUUGAGACACGUAGUUAGGAAACCUUGAAGGUUACUUGACACUGCCUACCGGCUUUUUAAAAUUAUUCAAGCGCAUUUUGAAAUCUCGCAUCGUUUGACUUAAUUUGUGUUCAUAACUAUUUUUAGGCACUAUUUUAAACUGGUUUUUCUUUCAUUUAUUUGUUAUUAUUUAGAGAUAUUCAAAAAUUCACAAAUUGUAUUGAUUUGCUAUUUAAUUUAGAAUGAUGAAAAUGAAUGGUCAUCAAAACAUUCCAGUGCAAGUCGCUUUAAUGUUUAUCUGUAGGUGAAUCAUGUUUCUACUGUUUAACAAUUUGAUUUUUUGUGCCAAAUUUGUGUGCAUGUAUAUAGUUCUUGUUUGUAAAUCUUUUGCUUGAAUGUGAAGAAUGAUUCAUGUUGUUCAUUGUUUUGGCACAAAGUGCUUUUUGGAGAAUAAAAUGUAUGAAAACU
rnacentral:misc_RNA from 1 species